UUGGCUUGAAGAAGCCAUUUUUGUCUCACGUCUAGUGGUCCUUCAAAAACAAACUUCUACCAGAGAUUUGGUCUGAUUGCUACCGAAUUGAAUGAAAAUUCAACCUGCGGAGCCAGUUCCAUUUAGCGAAUCGUGGGUGGACCCACAAAAAUGAUCCAAGAGACCACGCCUGAAAAGACACAGCACGUCCUUCAAAGCGGCGUGCCGGGGACCAGAUGGUCUCCCCCCCCCCGCAUCUCGGUGCAUCCGGAGGAAUCGGGCGAACCGUGCCCCGACGGACACUUCAUUAGGAUGCUGUUUUCACCUACUCCAGAACGUUUCUGGAAAACAAAAAGCCAAGUUUGACUGGAGAAACUCACCUACUCGCAGCUGACCUCAGAUUUUUGGUGUCGAGAAGCUCGGUCAUCAGGGAGGGGCUCAGUGUCGAGCCGGAUGAGGCGGCCGGGGCACCUGAUCCGGAUGCCUCCGUGGUGACGUGUUCUGGGCACGUCCCACCGGAAAGAGACCCUGGGACCCUGGGGACGACCCAGGACACGCUGGAGAGACUCUCGUCUGGCCUGGGAACGCCUCGGGAUCCCUCCGGAAGAGCUGGAAGAAGUGGCUGGGAAAAGGGAAGUCUGGGUAUCCCUGCUGAAGCUACUUCCCCCGGAAAAGCGGUAGAUAAUGGAUGGAUGAAAUUUGUGCGCGGGAAUAAAUGUUGACAACGGCGAAGAACGGAGCCAAGGCACUGUUUCAGGAUGUAAUCCUAUUGGUCAACAUCAAGGUCACAUG